GUUCUUGCUUCGGCAGCACGUAUACUAAAAUUGGAAAAAUGCAGAGAAGAUUAGCAUGGCCCCUGCACAAGGAUGACACGUAAAUUCGUGAAGCAUUCCAUAUAUUU
ensembl:snRNA U6 U6 spliceosomal RNA